GCCGAAAAAACAGAUGUCGCGAAAAUGCAUACAUCGGUCAGACUCCUGCAAUGUAUAGACUCAUUAGCUAUUAUUUGCAUAGAAUCUUGACAUAAUACCGGGCGUUAAAUUUCCUUUUGAACUUAAAUUUGGUAGUUCUUGAU